rnacentral:rRNA from 1 species
GAAUAUUGCACAAUGGGGGAAACCCUGAUGCAGCAACGCCGCGUGAGCGAUGAAGGCCUUCGGGUCGUAAAGCUCUGUCCUAAGGGAAGAACAAAUGACGGUACCUUAGGAGGAAGCCCCGGCUAACUACGUGCCAGCCGCCGCGGUAAUACGGAGGGGGCAAGCGUUAUCCGGAAUCACUGGGCGUAAAGGGUGCGUAGGCGGUCGACAAAGUCUGGGGUGAAAGGCUACGGCUCAACCGUAGUAAGCCUUGGAAACUUGUGGACUUGAGUGCAGGAGAGGUAAGUGGAAUUCCUAGUGUAGCGGUGAAAUGCGUAGAUAUUAGGAGGAACACCAGUGGCGAAGGCGACAUACUGGCUCAUUACUGACGCUGAGGCGCGAAAGCGUGGGGAGCAAACAG